UACGGAGGGUGCAAGCGUUGUCCGGAUUUAUUGGGUUUAAAGGGUGCGUAGGCGGCCCUGCAAGUCCGUGGUGAAAGCCCCUCGCUCAACGAGGGAACUGCCAUGGAUACUACAGGGCUUGAGUCCAGACGAGGUUGGCGGAAUGGAUGGUGUAGCGGUGAAAUGCAUAGAUACCAUCCAGAACCCCGAUUGCGUAGGCAGCUGACUAGGCUGGAACUGACGCUGAGGCACGAAAGCGUGGGGAGCGAACAGG
rnacentral:rRNA from 1 species